rnacentral:snRNA from 1 species
AGAUGUAAGGGCAAUCCAGCUGUGACAUCUGUCACCCCAUUGAUUGGUAGGGUUGAUUGAGCUGAUCUGUUUGUCUAGGUGAGUGUUCCCUUUCUCCCUCACUACUCCAUCUGUGUCUUUCCUGAAGCUGUGUGCAUGGUCGGAGAUGAUGACCUUCCUGAUGGAAAAGGCCCCAUCUUGGGUCAAGGGUAUAUGAGUAGCUGUGUUCCCCUGAUGGAACCUCCAAACACGUUCUCAAAAAUUGAAAACAGAACUAUUCUAUAACACAGGUCGUCUUCUUAUAAUAUAUCCUAAAGGAAACAAAAUCAAUACCUGGCAGAAUUCUACAGCCUGUGAUU